AUUGAACGCUGGCGGAAUGCUUUACACAUGCAAGUCGAACGGCAGCACGGACUUCGGUCUGGUGGCGAGUGGCGAACGGGUGAGUAAUGUAUCGGAACGUGCCCAGUCGUGGGGGAUAACGUAGUGAAAAUUACGCUAAUACCGCAUACGAUCUAUGGAUGAAAGCGGGGGAUCGCAAGACCUCGCGCGGUUGGAGCGGCCGAUAUCAGAGUAGGUAGUUGGUGGGGUAAAGGCCCACCAAGCCAACGACCUGUAGCUGGUCUGAGAGGACGACCAGCCACACUGGAACUGAGACACGGUCCAGACUCCUACGGGAGGCAGCAGUGGGGAAUUUUGGACAAUGGGCGAAAGCCUGAUCCAGCCAUUCCGCGUGCAGGAUGAAGGCCCUCGGGUUGUAAACUGCUUUUGUACAGAACGAAAAGGUUUCUACUAAUACUAGGAGCUCAUGACGGUACUGUAAGAAUAAGCACCGGCUAACUACGUGCCAGCCGCCGCCGUAA
rnacentral:rRNA from 1 species